AGAGUUUGAUCCUGGCACAGAACGAACGUUGGCGGCGUGGAUUAGGCAUGUAAGUCGAGCGGGAUUCUAUUUUUUCAAUUCUUCGGAAGAGAAGUUUUAGAUGAGAGCGGCGAACGGGUGAGUAAUAUAUGGGUAAUUUGCCUCUUUGUUCGGGAUAGCCAUCGGAAACGAUGAUUAAUACCGAAUGUGAUCGGUCACUGCAUAGUGACUUCUUUAAAGGUGGGGAAUCUUCGGAUCCUAUCGCAAAGAGAUGAGCCCAUAUCCUAUCAGCUAGUUGGUGAGGUAACGGCUCACCAAGGCUUACGGGUAGCUGGUCUGAGAGGAUGAUCAGCCACACUGGAACUGAGAUACGGUCCAGACUCCUACGGGAGGCUGCAGUCGAGAAUCAUUGUCAAUGCACGAAAGUGUGAACAUGCGACGCCGCGUGGAGGAAGACGGCCUUCGGGUUGUAAACUCCUGUCAGCAGGGAGGAAAAACAGCACCACUAAUAUUGAUGUUGUUUGACAGUACCUGCAGAGGAAGUCACGGCUAACUCUGUGCCAGCAGCCGCGGUAAUACAGAGGUGGCGAACGUUGUUCGGAUUUACUGGGCGUAAAGGGUCCGCAGGCGGCUCGGUGUGUCAGAUGUGAAAGCCCACGGCUUAACCGUGGAAUUGCAUUUGAAACUGCCGGGCUAGAGUACUGGAGGGGAGAAGGGAACACUUGGUGUAGCGGUGAAAUGCGUAGAUAUCAAGUGGAACACCGGAGGCGAAGGCGCUUCUCUGGACAGAUACUGACGCUCAUGGACGAAAGCUAGGGUAGCGAAAGGGAUUAGAUACCCCUGUAGUCCUAGCCGUAAACGGUGUGCACUAGACGUGGGUGGAUUUACCCCCAUCCGUGUCUGAGCUAACGCAUUAAGUGCACCGCCUGGGGAGUACGGUCGCAAGAUUAAAACUCAAAGGAAUUAACUCCCGCAACGAGCGCAACCCUUGUGUUUAGUUGCCAGCACGUAAUGGUGGGAACUCUAAACAGACUGCUGGUGAAAACCAGAGGAAGGUGGGGAUGACGUCAAGUCAGUAUGGUCCUUAUGUCCAGGGCUGCACACGUGCUACAAUGGGCGAUACAAUAGGAAGCCAAGCCGCGAGGUGGAGCAAAUCCUCAAAAUCGUCCCCAGUUCGGAUUGAAGUCUGAAACUCGACUUCAUGAAGUUGGAAUCGCUAGUAAAGGCGUAUCAGCUACGACGCUUUGAAUACGUUCCCGGGUCUUGUACACACCGCCCGUCACAUCAUGGAAGUUGGUUGCACCCGAAGUCGCUGAUCUAACCUUUUACUAGGAAGAAGGCGCCUAAGGUGUGAUCGAUAACUGGGAUGAAGUCGUAACAAGGUAGCCGUUGGGGAACCAGCGG
rnacentral:rRNA from 1 species